AAAACCUACGGGACGCAGCAGUGAGGAAUAUUGGUUAAUGGGCGCGAGCCUGAACCAGCCAAGUCGCGUGAGGGAUGACGGCCCUACGGGUUGUAAACCUCUUUUGUCGGGGAGCAAAUUCCGUUACGUGUAACGGAGUCGAGAGUACCCGAAGAAAAAGCAUCGGCUAACUCCGUGCCAGCAGCCGCGGUAAUACGGAGGAUGCGAGCGUUAUCCGGACUUAUUGGGUUUAAAGGGUGCGUAGGCGGACUGUCAAGUCAGCGGUAAAAUUGAGAGGCUCAACCUCUUCGAGCCGUUGAAACUGG
rnacentral:rRNA from 1 species